AUGGAUGUAAAUCUUAAGAUCAUAUUCUGGAAUGUUCGCGGUCUCAAUAGCCGGGCUAAACACGUUGCAGUUCGCUCCGUUAUUAGUUCCGUUUCACCCUCAGUGGUUUGCUUGCAAGAAACCAAACUCUCGUCGGUUUCGCAAACUCUAGUCUUUGAGACUCUUGGCAACACAUUUGAUGGGUUCUACUUCCUCCCGGCGAUUGACACCCGGGGUGGCAUCAUCCUCGCUUGGCAGAGCUGCCAACUCACCCUCUCUAAUCCCAUGAUUGGCGACCACCAUGUCUCCGCCGUUGUGAGCCCCACCAUGGGCGGACCUCACUGGUGGCUCACGGGCGUCUACGGCCAUCAAGGAGAUGACGCUAAGUUAGCAUUCCUCAACGAGCUCCAAGACCUCCGUUCAAGCAUCGCGGGCCCCUGGCUUCUAGGGGGAGACUUCAACAUGAUCACUUCGUUGGCCGACAAGAAUAAUGAUCGCGUCUCUCGCCGCACGAUGAAUCGCUUUCGUCGCUUCAUUUCCGAUCAUGGCCUAUAUGACAUUUACAUGCAUGGCCGGCGCUAUAAUUGGUCCAACGAACAAGCAAACCCCACCCUCGUUCGGAAUGACCGCGUACUCUGCACCCCCUCCUGGGAGACGUCACACCCACAGUGUCUGCUGCGAUGCCUCUCUUCUGCGGCCUCUGAUCACUGCCCAUUGUUGAUUGAUUGCGCGGCCCACUCUCUUGGAGGAUGA
rnacentral:rRNA from 1 species